CAGAUCCAGUUCACUCAUAUAAUGACAGAUGGAAGAAGUGGACGCCACGCUUGCAGUUUGUAAACAAAGUUUUUGAUUGGCCAAAUGAAUGCGCACGUCAUCCACAUUUUUGUCAGACGCGUCGCGUACUCGCAGCGCGUUCAUUCGCUGGUUAUGAGAGCGAUCUAGUUUUUCGUUGCAUCGCUGUUUGCAACAAAUGCAGUAUUAAAUCUAAUUAGAUAAAAAAGACUUUACGGUUGUAAUUUGUUUUUGCGCGUUCUUUUUUUUCCCUAAAAUUUACCAUUUUAUCUUGCUGUUUUAGAUUAUCAGCUACUCAAAUAGUUUGUCACCGCUUGUAGGCAUGUGAAAAUUGGCAUAUCUCAGAAGGAUGCCGUGAAAAUGUUUAAUCUGAAAGAUGGGCACAGCAAAAAGCAGGAUGAAAAAAGUCGCACCAGUAACCGAGGAAAACGUCUGUAGCGGCGGCAUUCACCGGGAUGAAAGUCAGCUGUUUGGUCCCUCAGAGACCAAACCCGCAGACCGGCGCCUGACGAUCAGAAGGAGAGCCCAGCCUGACUGUAACAGUGAGGGGCAGGACUCUGAGUUUUCAGCCGACGAUCUCGCGGUGGAAGUGGACAGAAUCCUCGCUGAGUGUGUCAGCACUGAUAUAUCACUGAACAGGACUUCUUAUAAGAUGCCAAUGUUUGGAUCGAACUCUUUAGGGCUUUACUAUGCCAAAGCCCAAGACAGCUACAGCUUCUACAGUGGCAGCACACGUGACAAAAAUGAAAUUAACACAGUGAACAAACCAAUCUCUAUUCAUAAAAAGGUCAGGCCUUCACAGGACCUGCUAAAACUGUGCCAACAUAGAGAACACAGCGACAGCUUCGGGUUCUGGAAUUGGUGGAGGUUCAUCUGUGGCCUUGCCUAUCACGUAUGA
rnacentral:lncRNA from 1 species